UGGCCACUCAGCUCCCUUCUCCCGCCUUCCCUCAGGCCCUGUCCAGCUCAGCCCCCUUCUCCCCGCCGCCCACUUGGCCAGUCUAUCCCCCGGUCAGCUGCCUGUGGCCGAAGCCAUUCCCACCCAGUUACCGGCGUGUUAGUCACUCCACGCUGAGACCACCCUGUGGGGCGCUGUGCUCAUGGUGCCCCGUGGUUGCGCUCGGAGCGGGAAGGCCAGGUGCUGCCCGGUGUAAAAGCCCAUCAGUUCAUUGUAAAAUCACAGAAUAAAUUUCUGAUACAAAUGGUGCCAUGAACGGGUGACCAUCUAAAUGAAUAGAAGCACAAAUAACCCCAGAGGAUGCAUGAGUUUUCUUAUGGCUGGGAACAUUCCUGUCACUUUCUUUGUUGUUCUGGUAAAUUUGUAACAUUUAAAAAGUAUAACUAUUGAUAUGUAUGGAUAUGCAUAGAGAGCAAGUAUGUAUAAAACCAGAGGUACCACAUUCCUCCCCUCCCCCACAAUUGUUUUUAGAUCAGUUCACAAAGCCUGAGGUAACUGCUGAUUGGUAGUGAACAUUUCUGUGUUUCUGCUUACAUAAGCACUGUUUGCAAAAAUUGGGUUUGUCCUUCAGAUCAUCCAAAAGGUCUAUAAUUCUUCCACAAAUCAGAGUUGUUUACUAGUUAGCACAGAUUUGGCUACUCUUCAUAUCUCCUCUUUCUGUGAAAAAGAGCCACAAUAAAGAAAGCAGGAAGCCCUUGUAUACUUUGUACUCAUUAAAUGCAUAAAUUCUCAAAGAAAAUUACAGAACAGUGUGCAAGUUAUUUAGAAAUUUGCUCCAGUAAGUGGACAAAGUCAAGUCACCAAAAUGUAAAGAGUCACAUCUUUACCAGUAGAAAAUUAUUAAAGCAUGGAGGUCUCAGCAUCAUAUGGGUAAGUCACUAUUCUUAAACAAGGAGAAAGUGGCAAAUGAAAUAGUAUCAAUUGAUGUCAAAGAGGAAUAGGUGGGCUCCACA